GGUUAGUGCAAAGGCAUAAGCUAGCUUGACUGCGAGAGUGACGGCUCGAGCAGGUACGAAAGUAGGUCUUAGUGAUCCGGUGGUUCUGAAUGGAAGGGCCAUCGCUCAACGGAUAAAAGGUACUCCGGGGAUAACAGGCUGAUACCGCCCAAGAGUUCAUAUCGACGGCGGUGUUUGGCACCUCGAUGUCGGCUCAUCACAUCCUGGGGCUGAAGUAGGUCCCAAGGGUAUGGCUGUUCGCCAUUUAAAGUGGUACGCGAGCUGGGUUUAGAACGUCGUGAGACAGUUCGGUCCCUAUCUGCCGUGGGCGUUGGAAGAUUGAGAGGGGCUGCUCCUAGUACGAGAGGACCGGAGUGGACGCAUCACUGGUGUUCGGGUUGUCAUGCCAAUGGCAUUGCCCGGUAGCUAAAUGCGGAAAAGAUAAGCGCUGAAAGCAUCUAAGCGCGAAACUUGCCUCGAGAUGAGUCUUCCCUGGGGCUUUAAGCCCCCUGAAGGAACGUUAAAGACUAUGACGUUGAUAGGCUGGGUGUGUAAGUGCAGCGAUGCAUUGAGCUAACCAGUACUAAUGAUCCGUGAGGCUUAACCUUACAACACCGAAGGUGUUU
rnacentral:rRNA from 1 species